rnacentral:rRNA from 1 species
UACGUAGGCGGAAUAUUAAGUCAGUGGUGAAAUCCUGCGGCUCAACCGUAGAACUGCCAUUGAUACUGAUAUUCUUGAAUAUAGUUGAGGUAGGCGGAAUGUGUAAUGUAGCGGUGAAAUGCUUAGAUAUUACACAGAACACCGAUUGCGAAGGCAGCUUACUAAACUAUUAUUGACGCUGAGGUACGAAAGCGUGGGGAGCGAACAGGAUUAGAUACCCUGGUAGUCC